AAGUCGUAACAAGGUAACCGUAGGUGAACCUGCGGUUGGAUCAUUAUUGAUGCAACGGUCUUGGAGUCCUCUCUGGAGUUGAUUCCUCGACCUUACCCACCCCAUGUGCACUGUAAAUGUUUUUUGGGACAUGUUUGUAGGCUUCGGCCUCGUUGUCCCAGCAGUAUUAAACUCUAUUUAAUUUGUCUGAAAUGAACCAAAGAAUCGUAACAACUUUUGACAACGGAUCUCUUGGCUCUC
rnacentral:misc_RNA from 1 species